CCGCCCCCGCCCCCUUCCCUCCCGAGACGCUCCAUCCGGGGCGCCGGGAGGGCCGCGCGGUGCCCUGUGCCCGGGACGCACCGCUUUCUUCCCCCGCCGGCUCCCCGGGUCCGCUGGGAGGGCGGCCUCGGGACGGAGGAGACGACGAUGCCUUCACGUCGUGCAGCCAUCACCACUGUCCUGGUCCAUGCAGGCUGCUCAUGACUCAUUCACAGAACACCACAGUUCAGGAGGCUGGGAAUUCCCAGAUCAAGGUGCCAACACGGCUGGGUUCUGGGAGAGUGUUUGGGGCUGAAAAAUCUCUGGACCUACUCCCCAACACUCAGUGGCUGGCAUUCCAUGACCUAAGGGGUGGCCUGUCUGAAAGAAAGACAGUGCCCCAAGCCCUACUUUGAAAAAUGCUGCCAGUAGUAGCAGAAUUGGCCCUGCUGCUGUCUGUGACCAAGAGGAGACUUUCCUGAAACACCAGGGGCAAACUGGCCCCCAGAUAGAUCUUCAGGCUCUAACCACCGGAGAAAGCAACCCUGAUACCUUUCUAAGCCACACCAUGGGAUGUGGGAAACUGACAAAGAGAGCUUGGAUUCAUCUGGGUGACAUGAGAUCACACUGUCUGGAAAGAAUCCAGGACACGAGCAGCAGCCUUCAACGGAGAGAGCCCAAGUCCAAGCACAGGCUCGCUUCCUCAUCAGCCCGGUGGGUGACUUUACUCAAGUCGCUUACCCUCUGGGAGUUUCAGUUAUGCUGUCACAAAAUGAGGGUCACUCCAGGGAUCACACGAGCCAAUAGGUGGAAGCAUUUAGACAACUUGACACUUUCCAGACAGAGGCAAGCAGCAGUGCCGUAUCUGGGGGCCCACUUUCAGAGGAUCCACUGGAGCCAGAGCGUGAUUCAGUCUGGCAGACCAGAGAUUAUUUAAUUUUUCUAAUAUAUUGGGGCCUUCUGUCUUCUGACUAGUAAUAAAUCACGUUCUUCUUAUGCAAAAAAAAGUCAAAUCUAAACCAAAUGUGAGCAAGAGUGUGUGGUGCAAGGCUGAGAACGUGGAACUGAAUCAUGAGAUUUGAGGAUUAUAAACACAGCAGGCCACAGGGUUCUUUUCAAGGGACGACAUUCAAUUCCUUCGUGGGGCUGCUUCCCAGAGAAGGAGCAAUCUGGCAAGGUAAAGAAAACGUGCCAUUCCAGUUCAGUUUUAACCCUGAGAGAAAUCCAUUCUUGACGCACACUUGUGGUGUGAAUUCUACAUAUGCAAAUGAGCAAUGGUGAAAAGGCUCUUGGGAAAUAAUUAUUAGUGAAGUCUAAAUAAACUGGUAAUUUGGAAAGUAAUCUUCAUGAUAAAUAAACGACGUUCCAUAACUAAUUAGUUUUGAGCUAACCAAGUGUGAUUACAGAGCUGAGCUUUUAGGGUUACUGAGGCUUUCAAAUUUUGGCAAAUAAAGUAGUUGGUGUGGCUGCUGCAUCCUGAGAAUGCCAAGGGGACAAGGCACCCCUGGAUCCUAGAUGUGACGGUGUCAGUUGACACAGUCCUCUGGAAGUGAAAAUGGUAUACUAAGAGACCCAAAUUGCAUAAUUGGAUGGUAACUAAUUUAGAAAUGUGAUUUUUUGAAGAUGAAAUUUGAAUUAAUGGUGUGUGACUUUGUGUAGCAAGCUAAUUGGAAGAAAGACAAGUCAAAGAGUAUAUUGUAUGCACUAUUACUUAAAAGAAAUGUAACUGUAUUCCUUUUAUGUACAUGUUAUAACUAAAAUUCUUAUUUACUUAUCUUUUUUGCACUUCAUACAAAUUGCUUAGUUAAAUAUUUAUUGGAAGGCUCUAAGGGAUCUGCAUCAAUAAAC
rnacentral:lncRNA from 1 species